GCCAGUGUUGUGUAGUGGUUUGAACAUUGGACUAUGAUUCUGGAGAGCAGGGUUCAAAUCCCUUCUCAGCUA